AUCUCAAUGUCGGGAGGCGGAGAGCAUUACUCAGCUUCUGGCCGCGCGCCUCUAUGGGGAAUUACUGAACUCAUCUGCUUUCAUUUUUCCUCAGGUCACUCCAAACACACAGCGCUCAGCGCUAUUGACAGAGACACACACUUCUCAUUUCUUGGUCAUAAAUUGAUUCCGUCCUGGAUAAUCGCCUUGAGAGCACCAGCCAAACAUGGGGGAAAUGCAGUGAAUCUCUCUUCAGUUUCUACAGUAGAGGCAGAGGCAGCUCAAAGACAGUCUGGUGAAGUUUAAACCAUGUCCUGCUUUGAGGCGGGAGGAAUGCAGCAGUGUCCCAUCUGAUCCAGGGGAAUGGAACCACAGCAGAAGACAGCCACACGCUCGGGUUAGGGCGAGUGAGGUGAGAGGGGCUGAGGAGAAGGUGCUUAAGGAAUUUAGAGUUCAAGCAAAAUGUGCUUGAACAAAUCUACCAAACUUUGUCAGAGCCCAUUUUGCUGUAUGAAUGUAUGUAUGUAUAAUCCAGUUGAGGUGUGGGGCAGAGCAGGAUAUCACAUGACCUGUUCUCGUUGCGCUGUGUGUAGCGUGGCUGGGGGUCAGAGUCUCCAUCGUUGACAUCAUAGCUGGCCUCAGGGUCCUGGGAACAGAGAUGGAAACAGGUGUUCGAGACUGUGGAUACGGCUGAAUUACAUCCUUUCAUGAAAUGGGUGGUAAAGGCCGCAGGUAGCCUAGCGGUUAAGAGUGUUGAGCCACUAACCUAAAGGCCACUGGUUCAAAUCCCUGAGCCGACUAGGUGUAAAAUCUGUUGAUGUGCCCUUGAGCAAGGCACUUAGCCCUAAUAGCUCAUGUAAGUCACUCUGGAUCAGAGUGUCUGCUAAAUUAUAAGGAUAUGGUGAGUGACAACUCUCAGAAUGCAUCUCAACAGCCUUAUUGAGAGUCUCUUUUCCUCCAGCUGUUGCUGCACUUUAAAGCAAUUCCUGGAAAGUAAUUUGAGGCUGAAGUAGGCAUCCUCACAUUGCGUUCACCUAGCUGUGUGUCUCAGAGAAUGCAGAUGAAAUGACUGUUCUUCUUCUAUCUCAUCUGCACUAUGUGAAAACACAGGCAAGGUGAAAGCAAUGUGGAGCUGGGAAGAAGGCUACUUCUUCUUCCAUCCAUCCAGACAGAGCAGGUUGUGUUUGUAUGUACUCACAU